GUUCAGUACAUACACAAAGAAAUAAAGAGUAUGCUGUGAAGUAGCAGGCAGAGUCUGCAGGCAAGAACAUGAAGACUGUAGUGCAGUAUAAGUAGACCAGCUCAGGAGGAUGUGGACCCUAAGGCUGGAGACAAUUGGUCAGUCGCCUGCACUUCCUGAGUGGCCUGGAUGUUUUCAGGGUGAGAAAUGGGACUGCCGCUCAACAGAAGGGGCUGGAGCUGCUGCCAGAAACAGUCAGACCCAUUACAGAUGGUGGAAGUGUGUGCAUCACUUAUCUGGGGAAGAAAUGGAACCAGGACACACUGUGGGAGAAGAGUAAGCCAGCGAGAGCGUUAGGCCUGGAUGGGGCAGAGCUGUUUUGGAGCUACAAGGGGAGCAUACACAAUAUUAGGCUGAAAAUCUCAAUGGCUGUGUUUACUAAUCCUUUCUUAUUUUUAGUACCACCUUUUUAUCUUUACUUAUAUUCAAAUCUAAAUUCAGAAUUGUAAUGGUUUACAGUGACUGUUGUUAGGAAUGCCCCGUUAGUAAAACAACACAUGUUCCACAUAUAUAAGUCAUUGUAAAAAAAAAAAAAAAAAAAAAAAAUGAUUGCUAGUUAUGUUUUUAUUUUAUAUCAUGGUACAAAUCUAGCCUUUCAAGAUAUAUCCCUAUCUCAUGCUCAUUCUAUGACUAAGCGCAUCUAAGCGCGAAACGCGUCAGAAAGACUAAUUGUACCUGUUUGUCCUGUGAAAUUCAAUAAACAAAAAGAUUUUAUCCCCAUACUUGGUGCUGGACAUUCGUUUGUGUUGGAUCUGCUGUAGAAGCCGAGGCGGUGCCGGCGGGUCCGUGACACAGGUGUGCGCAUAGCAGGAGUGAGCUGUAUUUCUCUUGGAUAUUCUAUCUCGUGCUCAUGUACACUUUGAUGUAUUGCAUAGUGAAAUAUUUUAGUAUAGUUAAAUAGAUUACACUUAACACUGUUCAAUGACUAGCAGGGUUGUUUACAACAUAUACAUAUCCCUGCCAAACAAAUAUGAUAACAGGUUUCAGUGAAAUUGAAUGGCGAGAAAUUUAUGGCAGCAUUUAUCUGGAAGGCCGAGGUGAAGGCAGGCAGAAGGUAUUAACUACGCAGCAGCGGAGAAGCUUGACUAUGACAUGCAAGAUGAAUAUUAGUAAUCUAGUCAGUCCACUAUAUUGAAAAUACUUAUUAAAUCUUAUAGCUGCUGCCCAGUGCAUUAUAUGUAUCUAAUUUUAAUUACACCGCAACUACCGCCUACAUGCUUAUUCCACUAGUAGCCAUUGUUCCCACUCUAGGGUUAGCUAUAAAUUGUGUUGUUUUAUAUUCUUAAUAAUUUUAGAGUUAUGGAAUUCCACAAGCAAUUCUGUGAAAUGUUUUAUUACUUGAUAAAACAAAAACAAAUGUUUGUAUUGAAAUUGGAAUGAUGUGAGUCUAUUGUGCUCCAGCGGCCUUCUCGUGCAAUUAUCAUCAUCUACCACUGGGGGAAGAACUGAGUUGUGGCACAGACUAAAACUCUACAGUGGUCCCUCAAGUUACAAUAUUAAUCGGUUCCAGGACGACCAUUGUAUGUUGAAACCAUUGUAUGUUGAGACCAUAACUCUAAGGAAACCUGGUAAUUGGUUCUGGAGCCAACAAAAUGUCAUCCAAAAAUAGGAAAAGGUGAGGAUUAAAGAAAAAUAAGUAGAUAACUAAUAUAGAUAAAACAAUUCCUUACAUAUAAAAGUAAGAAAGAUCUGCUAGAAGCUGUAAUCACGGUCUAUGUCAGUGUUUCCCAACCAGGGUGACUCCAGCUGUUGCAAAACUAUAACUCCCAGC